rnacentral:rRNA from 1 species
UACGUAGGGGGCAAGCGUUGUCCGGAAUCAUUGGGCGUAAAGCGCGUGUAGGCGGCUCGGUAAGUCCGCUCUGAAAGUCCAGGGCUCAACCCUGGGAUGCGGGUGGAUACUGCCGAGCUCGAGUCCGGAAGAGGCGAGUGGAAUUCCUGGUGUAGCGGUGAAAUGCGCAGAUAUCAGGAGGAACACCAAUGGCGAAGGCAGCUCGCUGGGACGUGACUGACGCUGAGACGCGAAAGCGUGGGAGCAAACAGG